CACGUAGGGAGCAAGCGUUGUCCGGAAUUAUUGGGCGUAAAGAGCUCGUAGGUGGCUCGGUAAGUCAGGUGUGAAACCUCCAGGCUCAACCUGGAGACGCCACUUGAUACUGCUGUGCCUGGAGUCCGGUAGGGGAGCGUGGAAUUCCUGGUGUAGCGGUGAAAUGCGCAGAUAUCAGGAGGAACACCAGCGGCGAAGGCGGCGCUCUGGGCAGUAACUGACGCUGAGGAGCGAAAGCGUGGGUAGCAAACAGG
rnacentral:rRNA from 1 species